rnacentral:misc_RNA from 1 species
GAAAUGCGAUACGUAGUGUGAAUUGCAGAAUUCCGUGAAUCAUCGAAUCUUUGAACGUAAAUUGCACUUCUCAGUAUUCUGGGGAGUAUGCCUGGUUGAGGGUCUGUAAAAAAAUAUAUCGUGUAAUAUUUUUACACGGAAUUGAGUUUUCCAAUACUUUUAUUGGUAACUUUAAAAUAUUUUAUUUCAAGUUAGAAACGUGCUAUGUCAUAUCUUAUAUGUGUGGUUUGUUGAAAACUUGAUUUCUCUACACGUGUCAUCUAUUGUUAACAAUAGAUGUUCAAGUGUAUUCUUUUUUGGACCUCAACUCAAGUAAGAGUACCCGCUGAACUUAAGC